CUCCAAGUUUACUCUUUCGGUAUCCCACCGUCUUCUCCCUACGUUUCGCAAUUCUUUGCACUAUUUGCAUUAAUUUUUUGCGGGGGUUCUAUGUUUCGAGAUGCUCAAGUGAAGAG
ensembl:ncRNA H19M22.10 ncRNA